AUUGAACGCUGGCGGCAGGCCUAACACAUGCAAGUCGAGCGAGUGGCGGACGGGUGAGUAAUGUAUGGGAAUCUGCCUGAUGGAGGGGGAUAACUACUGGAAACGGUGGCUAAUACCGCAUACUAUCAGAUGAGCCCAUAUGGGAUUAGCUUGUGGGUGGGGUAAAGGCUCACCAAGGCGACGAUCCCUAGCUGGUCUGAGAGGAUGAUCAGCCACACUGGAACUGAGACACGGUCCAGACUCCUACGGGAGGCAGCAGUGGGGAAUAUUGCACAAUGGGCGCAAGCCUGAUGCAGCCAUGCCGCGUGUAUGAAGAAGGCCUUCGGGUUGUAAAGUACUUUCAGCGGGGAGGCGUUACCCGCAGAAGAAGCACCGGCUAACUCCGUGCCAGCAGCCGCGGUAAUUC
rnacentral:rRNA from 1 species